ensembl:lncRNA IER5L-AS1 IER5L antisense RNA 1
UUGCUCAGAAUUUCACAAGACCCAUUCCUCACCCCACAGAGGGACUCGGGAGAGCGGAACGUCGGGCUUCCCGGGUCUGACAACUGAUUGGAAUCGGCUUCCCAGGUCCGGCGCCCUCCUGAGCUGCGCCCCCGGCGCGCCCCGGCGGCCAGGGCGCCCUGCCUCGCCCCCGGCUGCCCGGCACCUCCUCCGGGCAGCAGCCCUCCCUCACGUGGUAGGCUCCUCGCUAAACACCACUGCAAUCACUACAAUAAAAAGAAAAAAAGGAGUAGGAGAAACACAAAGCAUACUUAAAUAGGCGCUUUUUCUCUCUGCAAAAAUAAAGUCCAAGAUUUUAGAUUUCUUUUUUUUUUAUUUUACAAUUUAUAAAACAUCAGCCGCCUGCCCCCGCUCGCCCCCAGCUCAGCCCCGAGUGGCCCGGCGCCCGCUCGUUCCCUCCUCUCGCCCCUUUGCCGAGUCUUUGUCUGGCCCCAGCCCCGCGGGGCCCCGGGUCCCUGUGCCCUCGGGGGUCCCUAGAAGGCGACAAUGGCUCGAGUCCAGGCGCCGAGGCUGGCGAGCGCCUGCUUGGCGCACAGCUGCCCGUUGAGCGGCGGCGGCUGCUCCGAGGAGUCCGGCUGUCGGCUCACCAGCCCCGAGAAGCCGGAGCCAAAGAUGGAGAUCAAGUUUGAGAUGUUGGACGCGUCCGGGGACGAGUCCGGGCAGAAGUCCUCGAAGCGGGCGCGCUUGCAGGGGGCGAACGGGGCGCCCCCGGGGGGCUCGGCCCCCAGCCCGCCCGCAUCCUCCUCGUCGUCUUCCUCCUCCUCCUGGCCAGGGAGCCGGCUCAGGUGUCUCUCCCUCCAGGAAGUGGGGCUUGUGCCCUUUGGAUACCUGCACUCCCCAUCACCGCACUCCCCAUCGUGGCACUUCCCUUGUUGCAGUUUUAUGGAGUGUGCGUCUGGCUCUCCAACUAGACUUGAACCGCUUGAGUGCAUAACUCGGGACUUGACCAUUUGCGUCUCCCUACGGCCAGCUCAGCCUCCGCACACAGGGACCUGCAGAGAGUGGAUGUAGCCACUGCCCCAGCGUCCCUGGGCUCUGAAGAGAAGCCAUUGCCCUUCAAGAGCCACCCUCAUUUCCUGGGCACUGGUUGGAAAAAACGAAGAAAAAGAGACACCCAGCUCACCUCCAAGUUUGCCUGCAGAUUGUCCAGUGCCUUCAGAUUGGAACAGGUAGAAGAUUCUCCUCCACGUGGAGUGGGAAGUCGGCAGGUAUCAUCUCCACUGCUUCACAAGAUGCUUUUUCCCAGAGAGGCAAAAACGCCCGUGAGGGUGACCCGGCUGGGAGGCAAACCCUGUCCUGCCCCCAGCUCUUGGCACUGUAACUUUCUUUCUGCCCCUGCACCCAGAAAUGCUCAUCUGUGUCUACCUCCGGGAACUCAGCAGCCUGGAUGCUGCAUGAGACCCUGAGGGACUGCAGUACCAUCUUCCCAGUUUGUCGACAGGCACGUUGAGGAGCAGGAAAAAGGCCGUUUGUCGUAAGGGUCACUGCUGUUACUGGUCACCUCUGGGUGCGAGUCCUGGGCUAAUCGCAUAUCUUGCGGGACCCUGACAACUCCCCCAUUUAUCAGAUGAGGCAAAGCAAGGCUCAGUCACUUGCACAACGCAUAUCGCUAGUAAGCGUUGCUGGUGGGAUCACACUCAGCACUUCAUAGGCAAAGAAAAUCCCAGGAGUGCCGAGGAAACGCUGUCAAGAUGUCAAAAAUACGCGAACCGAAAGCUUAAUAAGUGUGGUUGUUUUGAUAUUCGAAUCAUGAGACCCAAGGCAUCGUAGGGGACCUCGCCUGCAUCCAUUCGCCUAUCCAUCCUACAGCAGCGACUGCACCCCUGAUUGUGAUGACGAAUGCACCCCCAUCCUUGGGCUCCGUGCCCACUGCUGGGCUGGGCUGCUCCCUCAGGUGCGGCAGCCAGAGGAGGUGUGGACUCCCAUCCCACGCGUUUAUCCUCCUGCAGCCUCUCGAGCUUGGUGGCAUAGCCGUCCUUCCAGUCCCCAAGCCAGAUGUCCUUGAUGCCCCUUCUCCCAGCCCCAUCCCCAUCGCCAGUUGUAUCAGUUUUCUAUUGCUACUGUAACAACUCACUACAAAUUGAGUGGCUUAAAACAACACACAUCUACUCUCUUACAGUUCUAUAGGUCAGAAAUCUGACAUGGUCUCAGAGGGCUAAAUUCAAGGUGUCUGCAGGACAGUGUUCCUGCUGGAGGCUCUUGAGGGAGAAUCGGUUUCCUUGCCUUUUCCAAGUAUAGAGGCCGCCCACAUUGGCCCCCUUCCGUCUUCAAAGCCAGCAAUAGCUCCGAGUCUUUCCUCCCUAGCAUCGCUGUGACGCUGACUCUCCUGCCUCCCUCUUCCACAUUUAAGAACCUUGUGAUUACAUUGGUCCUCCCAGAUAAUCCAGAAUAAUCUCCCCAUCGCAAAAUCAGCUGAUUAGCAACCUCAAUUCCACCUGCAACCUUAAUUCUCCCCUGUCAUGAAAUAUAAGAAGGAGAUCCAUAUGUUCCGGGGAUUGGGAUGCAGACAUUUUGGAGGCAUUGUUCUGCCGACCACGCCAUCCUGACAGUUUUACCUCUGGAAUCUCUGCAGUCCACCUCCGCCUCGCCAUUCCUGCACCACUCCCUUUCUGGUUACCCGCUAUUUUCCCAAGAUGCCUUCAGUAGCACCUAUCCACUGUUGUCAUCUCUCUAACCUCCCUCUGUCCACAGUCCCCUGGGCCCCCACUCCAAGACAAAGAUGCAGAUGUCGCUACUUCCAUGGCACUGUCAUCUGCAAGGGAGCAUCCUAACUCUCCUUGGGCACACACAGGCCCUCAACCUGCCCUACCCCAUUGGUUCCUCCGGAUCCAUGACCCCUCCCACCCUCCGCCUCACACCCCUGUGCUCCCUUAAUAGUAAAUCACUUCUGGUUCUCUUAAGAUCCUGGGGCAUUUGGUUCUUCCUGGCCUUGGCCUGUGUGGCUCCCAUUCUCUGAACUGUCCUGCCCACCUUUAUUCGCCUCCCCCAGGAAGCCUCCCUGACCCCCCAGACCCUUUCAUUGCCCUCCCUUGGAACAGAAAUGUGCUUUUCACUGACUGGAUUGGCCCAAAGAGAUCUGAACUUGAGGCUGCCUCCUCAUGUCACUGAGAGCCCUCUGGGGUGGGCACUGUGCCUUGCUUGCCUCUUUGGUCAUAGUGCCCAGCAUGAGAUUGGUCACAUAGUAGGUGCUCAAUGAACUCAGAUUGAACUAAACUCAAGGACUUGGUCGGGGGGUGGUGGUGGUGAGAAGACCAGCUGGGCUGCUUGGGGAAGUAAAGUAUAAAGUUGGAUGGAAAAGCA